CUGUGCAGCAGUGCGGUUCUGCCCAGGUCCAGAGCUGCGAACUCUGGGCUGGCAGAGGCUGGGCACUAUGGGGUAGGCAGCUGCCCUGGCUUGAGGGGAGCUGUGGCCACUGUGGGGUGCAGGGCUGUCACCUAGAACUGCUGAGCAAAGAGCCGACAUGGCAUCGGAUGCCACUUGCAGCCCACGGCCUGCCAGCUGCCCUCCCUAUAACUCCUGCAGAGCAACUACAAGGAGACUCCAAACGCAAGAGCAACCUGGGAGCCCGACUGCGAAGGGUGCACGGCUGAGCUCUGGGGAGAGGAGGGGCCAGACACUGGCUCAAGGGCCUUCAAGGCCACCCUAGGGCCAUAGCCACAGAGUCUCCCAGCUAGUGCCGCACAUGACGGACAGGAGGAAAAAGCAGGGCAUCCUCUGGGCCCAGACUCAUGUGCACACAAAUCUAGACUGCGGCCUUGUUGGAAAAGGGUCUCUGCAGACAUAACGAAGUCAAGGAGAUCGGUGUUCAGGGUUAUCCAGCCGAGGGGCCUAGAAUUGCCAGGGACUGGACUCCACUCCCAGCCUCAGAGGGGCACAGCUUGGAGCACCCAGGCAACUUCAGCGCUCAGAGUGCCUGGUGCUUUGUCACAGCAGCCAGAGGACACUGAGACACGGAUAGCUGCAUUGUGUUGUUGGGGAAGCUGUGACUCAUCACAGGCCACAGCCACGCUCCUGCCCCUGUGCCUGUUAAUGUGCAGAGCUGAGAACCAACAGAAAAGCCAUCCCAGCCACCAGCUGUGUGAGGGGCAGCCCUCCUGUUUCUUUCCCGGAGGCCUGCUGCUCCUCUGAAGACCCUGCAGCUCACCCUACAGACCUCCACCAGGCCAGAGAGGCUGCCAAGGGAAGGACGGGGGCCUCCUAAGACCCCUAGGAAGAUGCUCAAGGCAACGUCACACACAGGAAAACCUUGCAAGCAGCAGGAAUGGAAGUGGCUGGGCCACUCCUUGUGGGGUGGCUGAGGAGAGCAGGUACCCGACACCCCGCUGGCAGGGUGGGGUUCUCCAGGACCCUGCAGUGGGCCAGCUGCCCAGGGGAUGAGGUCACAUGACAGGAGACCGGCCCUGGCUGCUGCAUCCACCCGUCCGAGUCUCUGUCCAUGGCCCGUGCAGUUCUCAGCAACAGGAGACUCGGAGGUGGCCCCAGGAGCCCUGCUUCAGAGCGAAGAAGAUGGGGUCCACAGCCCCCAGAGAGCAGGGCACCAGGGAGGGUUGGGGCUGCUGCAGGCCCCCGGCUGGCUGGCACCCCCAGUGGCCGGGUAUGCACACCCACUCUGGUGCCCUAACCCUCCUGCCAGCUCCACAGGGUCCCCUCACACAGUGCCCGAGGCCAAGGGACCCUAGAACUGUGGAGCUGGACCUGUGCUGCUGUCCCACAGCAGGACCUUGGCAGAGUCCCGGGGCACUCUUCCAGGGCCACCCUGUCCCAGCCCCUGGCUGAGCUCAGGCACCUCCUGUGAGUGUCCAGGCUGCAGGCAGAUCACGCCCCAGAGGCAGCUGUGGCCACGGGCAAUGGAGAGGCCACCUGGUCAGGCAUCAGCAGGCAGCCAGGCCCCGGCUGCUGGGGGAGCCCGCGCACCACUGCCUCCCAUAAUUUCCAGUGAAAAAGCAGUUAGACACCGACUGCAGCCUUGGGGAGGGCCUUUUGGUGGUGUCCUGCAGCCCGUGGUCCCCACCCGCCUGUCUGCAACCUGUGUCCCGGUGCCCAUGUCCACCACAGCAGCCCAGGUGAGCUGUGCUGGCUGGGCCAGAGCUGGGCAGGCCAAGAGGAGAUGCACGAGGCAGACCGGCACAGCAUGUGAGCCCCGUGCCGCCCGGCUGCCUGUGCAGCAUCCUCUCUGUGGCAACACCCCUAGGCCAGCUGUGGCCCGGCACGUGGAGCUUCUGCAGCUUUCAUAUCUCUUGCCAACCAUGUUUCCAGCCGCUGCACAUCACUGUUCUCCAGGCCACUUCCAGGCCACCUCAUGCCAGGGUGGGGACACCAGUGGUGCAAACUAUGUGUGGAUUGGUGUCCCAGGGCACUGAAGGCCGGGAGACCUGGGCUGCUUAGGGUCCAGGCCGUCCCAUGGCUACUAAGGACCCCUUCUCCCCAUUCCCAUCCUCUGCAGCCAUAGGAGCUGCCCCUGGGAGGUGCCCAGAGACCAUGCCUCCUCCCCGGUUUGCUCCUCAGGCAGGGCAAGGGCCUCGUACAGUUGUAGCCAUGGCUGAAGUUCCUGACCACCUGGAACGCGGCACAGUAGAGGGAACCAGGCAUCUGAGGAAUGGGUACUGUGGCCACAACUGGUGUCACAUGUGGCCAGGAAGGUGGAGGGAUGGGGCACCAAACAGCCUGUGUGAGCUGGAGGCUCUCUGGAGCUUCCGGUGCUUCUCCAUGCCUAGUUGCAGUCCGCACCAGUCUCUGCCUCUGUCCCCUGCCCAGCCACCAUGGGUGCAGUGCCUCUGAACACACCCAGCAGCACGGAGCCCUGGCGCUCACAGCAAGGCGAGCCCAGGCCAGCACAAAUGCGGGCUGACAGGGAGGGCGAGCCUGGGCCCAUAAGGCUGGCGGGCGGCUGUGCACGUCCCUCGGGGCCUCCUGAGGCCCCCUGCUCUGUGGCUGAGGACCUGGCCUUAAUCCCACCUGGCCUGCUUGCUGCUCUGCUCCUUGUGCACGGCCUUGGGCUGCCCACCCCCUGAACCUCCGCGGGGGUGGGGACCCCGAGGCGAGGCGUGGGAGCUGCUGUGGUCACUAUCUCUCACCACUUCUGUUGCUGCCAAGCUUGGUACAGUGCGGCUCAUGUGUGGGCAUGGCCAGGGUGCCGUGGGCAUGGCCAGGGUGCCAUGUGCACCCGGGCACCAGCCAGCAGGGGGAAGGCCCCCAGGAAGUGAGCCCCCAGCAGGAGCCCCUGCCCAGCCCAGCAGAGGCCUCGCCCCAUGGGCCGUGCCAGGGGUCUGACCUGCCGCAGGGUGGGGGCUGCAGUGUUGCAGUGCUGAGG
ensembl:lncRNA